UUGCAAAAUGGCGAACAAGUGAGGUGAAGGCUUAAAAACAUGAGGUUUCUGCAGCGUUUUAAAUCAACGCAAGCAAAAGUAUCCAUCAAGACAUGUGCAGUUGAAUCCUGGAGAUUCACAAAUAUCCUCGCAAUAAUGACCUUUACAAGGUGAUAAGCUGGAACAAACAUUACCAACCUAAAGAAGCGACAAUAUGACUUAAUACAAUGCUAGCACUAAACUAGACAUUGAAUUGUGCAUGGUACAGUCGUUGUUUACCUCUUUAUUACCAGGAUCAGUUUCAUAGUGUGUCCAAUCAACUUCGUUAGUUGCAUUGUUGCCACCAUCAACAAUUGUACUUUCUAGCAAGUCGCAUUCUUUUGUUACGUCGUUGUAAUUUAUGGAUUGACAUGAAUCAUGCAGAAUACAUUUUUCCACACAUUCAA